UUAGAUGACCCAAAUUGUGAAAGGUGCCUACAAGAAGAUGAAUCAGCCCCACACACCAAAAUUAUGUAAAUACUCGUGUCCAGCGGCAUUAGGACAUCUGAAGUUGAAGAGACAAAUUCAUCUUACUUAAGAUGCUACAAACAAGUAUGAAUCACACUUGCCACAGCAACAUUACAACAAGAGGAUAAGGAGAGAGAAAUGCGUGGUAACAUGUGAAGUGUGGAAAACCCCACAAUGCAACAUCUCUUCAUGGGCAAUAAAACCGCAUGUGUUGCUUCUAGUGACCACAAUAGGUGUAGGAAGAAAACCAAUACCGCACGUUGAAACCAAUAGCAUAAAAUGUGACAUGCAAUGGAGUUGUUAUGAUUUAAAACUCUAUUUUGUUCUGAAACCUUCUCCUGGCACUGCCAAUUUUCAUGAAGGUGUCCAUUGGUGUAAGCUCAAAACAAUAUUUUUGCUGUAUUUCAGGUUUCUACCAAGGUGGCCAUUAUAAACUAUAGCCUCCAGGACACGCCAUGCAGUCAGCCGAAAGUCAACAGACGUUUUGGAGGAACAUAUCGUCUCCAUCCUCAGUUCAAACAGUGAGCGAAGUAAGAAACCAACAUGAAGCACAUGGCUUGCUGCUAUGAACUACACUAUGUAUGGAUAUCUUCCAGAGAAGAGACUACUCAGGGGACUUAGGCAUAGACCAUAUACGAGGAAGAUGAAUGUCAAGUCACUGGGGAAGUCAGCUUGGUUUAAUUUCAUCUGAUUCAAGAUUUCAGCUUGUGUAAUAACAUGUGGCUAGAGAAUGCCUGAAGCUCUUGUCUAGUUGCACCAAAUGCUCAUUUGCAACAAGCAGCAUAGAUGAGGAAACAGCAGACAAGAAACCAGAGGGACAUGUAUAAGAUAAAUCAACAUUCUCACAAGAUCCAUGAACAACAUGAAACACGAAUAUAUUCACACCGCUGAAGACUGCGCUAAUAGAUCCCAUAAGAAAGUUGAAAUCAACGUUUUUACUGAAUUUAAUAGGGCGACUUCUUAAAAUUUGAAUUGUAAUUGCAAUAUUAAUUUUAGUUUGUGGUAGACUGUGCAGUAAAACAGUUUAGCAUAGCGAUAGAUGCUGAAGAUUGCACUAAUAGGAGAGAGAGAGAGAGACACACACAUUGUGCUAGUCCAAAAUUCAACAGACAUGAAACUGGUCACAAGCAUAACACAAACAAACAAAGCAGAAAGACAAUACAAAGCCAAACAAACACUGUAACUAAUUAUUCACUGUAUGCUCCAAAAAUUUAUAAACUGUAUAAAAUGAGUUAUCCACGAGAUAUGAAAAUAAAUUAUUUUUAAAACUGA